rnacentral:lncRNA from 1 species
GAGAACAGCCUUUCAGUAAAGAGAGGCUGUAAGAAGGGGAGAGACUCUUUUGCAGGGUCUGCUAUGACAGGACAAGGGGAAAUGGUUUCAAACUGAAAGAGGGGAGAUUAAGGCAGGAUAUAAGACUAAAUAUAAGUUUUAUAGAAUAGCUAGAAGUUUGCUGUAGUAAGGACAGUGAAGCACUGAAACAGCUUGCCCAGAGAGGUGGUGGAUGCCCUGUUCCUGGAGACAUUCAAGGUUAGGCUGGACCAGGCCCUGAGCACCCUGAUAUAGUUGUAUAUGUCCCUCUUUAUUGCAGGGGAGUUGGACUAGCUGGCCUUUAAAGGUCCCAUCAAACUCUAAGGAUUCUAUGAUUCUAUGUGUUUUCUCAGAGCAGGCUGCUCCUGCAGAUGCAUUUGGAGAGCAGAAUAGGUUUCCAGCUAUAGAAUGCAAUCGGGAACAGUCAGCAAUAUGGCAGUUCUGAGCUUACAAAGUGCCUUACCAGCAAGGCUUUUCACUACUCUGAGCCACUCCAGCAGAAAAUAAGGUAGUUUUUCCACCUCAUCUGUGCUCUCCUCAUUUCCUUUGGGAAGUCAGGUUUCCAUAGGAAACCAUGCUGUUGGAAGCUGAUUCUUCCAGAGGUCUAACACUAGCCUCUGUAAGUCAGGAAGGCAGCUUAGCAGGCCCACUGGGAAGUAGCAGAUGGAUAGGAAAAUGACAUGCUUUCCAAAAGUAUUUAAAUAUCAACUCUCUUUUGUUACAGCUGUGUAAGAGCCAUAUAAAAUCAAGUAACAUGUAGGAGAGAAAAGGGGUCAUGAAGGAGGAGUUUGAGCAAAAAGUAAUGCUAAAAAAGAAAAAAAAAUCCAUUGCAAAUGGUAAUGUAAAUAAGGUAAAACUUGAAAACUAUGAAGCAAUACUGCAGAUAGUCAUGUCUGAAGGAAUACCUAGAGGGUUCUUUUUGGUGGUGAUCUUCACUCCUGGAUCUGAAUUUUUCUGGACUGUCUCCCUUACCACUUCUGCAGGACACAAUUGCAACAGAAUUUUCCUUGAAUCAACGGAGGACUAUUACUUGAUGAGAUCAUUGUUUUCAGACUGUUUAAGUCAGACAGAGGUACAUGCCCGCUUCACCCUGAGCCCUUCUGCGAAUGGUCAGAAACAGAAUACUGUGUGAUCUCAAAAAGAUUCAGAGCAAACAUGGAAGACAGUUAUGUUUAAAUGACACUCUGGUUGGGCAGGCACUGAACGCAGUAACAGUUUCAACAUAGACACCUUAAACCUUCCAGUAUUCUAUUUUAGGUAAGUUGUUUUAUUGUCUCUAACCUGCUGAUUAUUUGUGAGAUGUAAAAAUGUGCAGAUACGUCUCCCUCAUCUGAUGUUGCUUCUUUGCUGCUAAGAAGGAGGUAAAACAUUACUCUUACUUAAAUUCUGCAAUGAAUGAGCACAACAGUUCAUUUCUAAAAAGGUACAUUUUUUUUUCUUUACAUGGAAUGUUUCUGAAUUCUUACUUAUUUUUCCUUAAAGUCUGUCAGAUGUGUAUCAUUCACUUUAAAGUUAUUUCCCACAUAGUUGCAUUCUUAAGGUAAAAAGAUCAAAAGGAUGGAUGGGUUCAGAGCACAAGCUGUAAACUAGUUAUAAUUCAAGAUGACUGACAAUAUUUAAAUCUUGUUCUGACAAACUAUAUAAAUGACUAAAGAACAUGGAUUCUUCAUGUGACUCUUUUAAACAAAUUUCUGCCUAGAUAUAGGUAGAACCAGGCUUAUCCUACAGCAAGAUAGAGGAUCUGGGCUCAGCACAGCAGAGCAGUACAGCCACAACUGUGUCUCACAAACAGAAGCACGUAAACCGGUCUUUUUUUCUCUGGUAAAUACAUACUUACAAUUACCUGAUAGUUUGCCAGCAGUGCUAUUGGUCAGCAAAGAUACCACUUAUAGCCACACCAGUGGACUCUACAUAGAGAGUUGGAACAUACAUAUUUCGUAUAUGAUGGCAGAUUUUUUUAUACAGAACUUCCUUUCACUUAAUUAUUAACUGCUAUAUAACCUGUCAAAGUGUGUAACAGACUGAGUGAACCACUUUCUGGGGCCAGCAUUUACUAGGAUAUUUGCAGAGCAUCAAAAUCAUACGUGGAAAGGAACUAGUUUGUCAUCUUAGGUCAACCAGCUGAUCACUUCAUCUUCCAGGAUCUUUCAAAAUGGUGCAUUUUAUUUUCUUGUGGGAAAAGAAAACUUUAACAAGAAAUUGAAUCCAUUACCCGUUUAGUGCUGUCAUACUGUUCUAUUGAGUUUUAUAGGCUGGUUCAAAAGUUUACAUAACUCUUAUUUGGUAUUAAAAUUUAUAGUGUUUUUUGAAUAAUUUCUGAAAUCCUUUUGGCUUCAUGCUUCUUCCAGUGUAUAAAUUUUUCCCUUUCCAGUGUCGUCCUCUUUCAGCAUAUAGAUCUUUCCUGGCAACAUUGAAGCAAAACAGUAUCAGACUUUAAAGUCAGAAUCUUUCCCCAUUUAAGUGCAUCCAAAUAAUCAUUUCCUCUCCAUUCUUGGUGUUUACAUGCAUCAAAUACUUGAAGAUAGUUAUGCUUCUUAUGAGCCACUUAGUUAAUCUCCAAUGUACAUACACAUAUUUUACUCCUUUAAUCUUUCUUCAUAAAUAAGUUUCUCUGUCCCCCUUAAUCAUACUUGCUAGUCCUCUCUAUAUUCUCUCCAAAACCUUUUAUUUCUGCUUUCAUUUUGGCUGUCGGAACCAUUGCUUUAAAAUUUCUUCAUUCUAAGUUUACUUAAGUGCCAAAAAAAAAAAAAAUUGCUAGAAAUAAAAAUAGUAAUAAGUUUCAGCAUAAAGCAAACAUAUUCCAGUUAAGGUAAUGUAUAUUAUAAGCACUCCUUUCCUUUUGCAAUUAAUAUUGGAUUUUCAUAGUGUAACAAAACAUCUUUAUUGCACUAGAAUACAGGAUGGGAUAUACUUUAUCUGUCUUUCAGAUUCUACUGUCCUUUCUAAACAUUUCUCACUGCCUGAAGCUUAAUUGAUCUGUUUUAGAUUACUAAAUCAGGGUGGAAUGAUGAAUCACAGCGUUGACUUUGCCAGAUAUGAAGAGAGUUUAAGACAUUCAGAACCUGAGCUCAUGUGAACCGACAUUAUCAGAAGUUUAUAAAUACAGACUUCUGCAUCUGGACAGAUGAUUUGUGAUAUCUUCCAUACUGCAUGAAAGCACAGGAUAACCAAAGCAGGCUUGUUAUUCCAUAGCAUACAAUAGUUCUUCAAAACCAGGAUUGUUAAGGUGGUGUAUUUAUCUGGAGACCUCCAGGAUUUUCAGACUAAGAUGCAGCUUUGUGUCUAACUGCAGCCUAGACAAUACAUAGAUGGGAAAAUUCUCAGUAAUUAAAUAUCAAGACCCCCAAGGCAUUACAUCAUUCUAUCAAGGAACUGAGUAUUCAAGAAGUUAGCAUCAGAGUCAACAUUUACACAAGACACAUGCACAUUAUGUAAUUAGAAGAUUAAGGUAAAAGUAAGACACUGCCUUUGGGAAAAUCUGUUUCUUAAUUGGCAGAAAGAUGAUUAAACUUGCCACAUCAGAUACUUUUGUUAAAUUGAAGAUCUUAAGAAAACAAACUCUUAUUUAUAAUUCUCAUCCCCUUAACUCCUGAAGAAGAGCUGGAAAACCACUGAAUUUCUUGUCAAAAGAAUCAUGAUUAAAAACCAACCAAAAAAAAAAAAAAAAAAAACCCACCUUGCUGUGUUUAUUCAGUCCCUCCAAUAAUCUUAAGGCAGGUUUUCCUUGAGAUAUCAUAUUGUUCCUCAGGGAAACGUUUACUUCCUAGAAGCUUCUUCAAACAUAUUUUUUUCCUAACCAAGAAACACAAGAAUUAUAAUUGGAAGUGAUCUGCAAACCAUUUACAGAUGUGUGGCAAUGAGCUAAUCUCCUUUACCCACAGUUAGUAGAGCUUCUUCAUACCAGCAUUAGUGGUUCAGAAGAUCUGCUUCUCCACAAAGCUGUGCUCUUAGAAACACAGGGAGACUGGAGAAGUUGUUGAACCACCACAAGACUUGAGAAGCUAUGGAAUCACCUCUGUUGAGCUGGGAAUCAACACAAUGCUUUCUCAGAACAGCUUUUGAAACACCACUGUAAGCUACUGAAAGAUGCGUGAAUGUUUCCUGUGAACAGCAGGGAGUAUGCCCAGCAAAGGAUGGUGGGACUUACUUUGCUGGUAAAAUAUUUUCAUACAUGAAAGACAAAGCUUUUCCUCCUCAGCCAUGUAAGACUAUGACUUCCAGAAGUGAUAAAAUGAUCGGUAGUGCAACAUAGCUCACUGUGUACCUGGCAUUUGGUUAUCUGUAUUGUACUUUCUAUAUUAUUUCAGUGAACUGAAAAAUUAGUCCAUUAUUCUGAUGGCAGAGACAACCAGCUGUCUUCUUGAUAAGAUGUUGCCUGUUUUUCUCUCUUUUCCUUUUUAACCUGUUAAGCUGUUUAUGUAAUAAGUGAUAGCAAGUCAGACGGUUCAACUAAAGUAAAACACUGCUAAUGGAAUAUAGUGUGUUCAUUGUUUUAAAAAGUCUUCCAUAGAUAAUAAGUGUUUGUAAAAAAGAAACAUUUUGAAGUAUUAGUUUAUGCUUGCUUUCCAUUUCUAUUUUAAGCCUACAUAGAAUAAAAAAAAAGAUGGAGAGACAAGAAAGUAAAAAUGAUAGCACUCAGAUAGUCACAACACACUGAAAGAUUUUGUUUGACAAAAGCAUUGCAGUUCCUAUAAAAACAAAGCUUAGCAGAUUAAAAAUAAUAAUAAUAAUAAUUAGCCUGCUAAAAAAAUUCUCUUUUAUCAUUUUCCAUCAGAAAAUCAAAAAUAACUACAAUUGUUUUAUUUAAUCUGUUCCUGUAAAAUAGAUUUGCAGUAUUCUUUCUCCCGUAUUUUCAGAACUGAACAAUUUUUUACCAUAUGUGCUGUUUUAGUGCAAGUCUCCACUUUCAAAUAUUUUUAUUUUAUGAUGUCUCUUCUGCUUUCUUUCAUUUGCAGGUUUGUUCUUCAUUCUUGCAUCACAGCAGGAGUUGUACCCUUUAUCAGUGUUGAUGUCUUCUUAAAAGAGGGUCUGUGACCGCAUUUGAAGUAUCUCUACUACCAGUUGUGGUGAUUUCACCCUGAUGUGCAGCUAAACUACUACAUCAUUCUCCUGUUACUCCUACUCAAAGGAAGAGGGGGAGAAAAUGAAAUGAAAAAAGGCUCAGGGUUUGAGAUUACCGUCACUGAUCAGUGAUUAUGAGAAUAAAUAAACAUAGUGUGGAAAAAUCUUUGUAUAGUCAUUAAAAUACCCAAGUGUGGCAUUCUAGUAGAGAUUUAAUAAGGAGAAGAAACUGACCCUCAGACUUAGGAAUUCAUUUUCUUUACUUUUCUACAAGGACAGACAUACAUCUCUCUAUCUAAUUUAUAUAUACAUACGUAUAUAUAAAGCAAAGCUUUUAAAGAAUUUUUAUUUAUCAUUGUAAAAUCUCUACUUAGAAUUGGAAAGAGAUAGAAAAAAAAAAAGUAGACUUUGAUUAUCACCUUGAUACAUCUAAGUGUUUACAGUGGGAGCUAAGCUGUAGCAUAGCAAUGUAAUAAAAAUAGAAAGUAAAGUGACGUAAAAAGUGCACUGAGGACUACCUUAUAACUAAUUCCAAACGUUCAAGAAUAGUAAAUGGUUAACAGUGAUGCAAAAGGAAAUUACAGAAAAAACAAUCAAAAAGGACUCCUAAACAAUGAAAGGAAACAAAAAAUUAAUAAAGCAGAAGACUGAAAAACAGAUAAGGAGAGCAAAACGGUGAAAGAUUUCACAGAAGAUUAUGAAAUUAGCACAAAAAAUUUUUAAACAAUCCUAAGAAUAAACUGUCAUUGAAGAACAGAAUAGGGAUUGUGGAGGAUCAUUUUUUAAGGGAUGAGGUAAAAAAAGAUGGAAAAUUUAAACAAAUUCUUCGCAUAGCUGUUCAGAAAGAAAUGUCAGCUCGCAGAGCUGUAGAAAUAUAGGUACAUAUUUUCUGGAGCAAAAGGAAGGAUAAAACACCUAAGUAAACACACACUGUAUGUGACAUAGUACAGAUGACAAUCUUAGCAUGUAUCACAUAAAAUAAUUUCUCAGUGCUAAAGCAUAUGCACUUCAGAAUUCACAGAAAGGGACAAAAAACAGCAUCACUCUUCACAAGACUAAUUUACAUCACUUCACCAUUCAGAUAACUUUUCCUUUUCAAAAUGUUGCUUUGAAGUCACAUGGGCUACUUACAUGACUGACAACUCUAGGACUGCAGUGAAAAAGAAGUUUCAGUGGAAUUAAAGAAAAAGUAACGGGAAGUGUGCAGGAGGUAUCUGUGCAAAGAAGGGCCCCAUGCAACUCCUCUCACAGCUUGCCUCUAAAAACUCAAGAACUGGGUUUAAAUGAGAGAAACACCUUGUCUUUCUGGCAAGUUUUAGCAAUGCCUUCUAUGCAGGAAAGCAAUUUGCUUCAAGACCAAACAGAAAUGCACACUGGUUAAGAGUGAUAUAUUACAAAAACAACAGAGUAUAGCUAAAUUCAGCAAAUUAUGAAGCAAUGGCUAUUUCAGUGAGAGUCAGAGAUUCGUCUAAUGAGAUCCAGGAGUUUCAGCUCUGAACAAAAAGUGAUGAAUUCAAGCUUAAAUUCCUACAAGUAACCCCUAUUCUACAUUAAAGGUAACCAUCCAUCACAUUUUUAACUACAUCUACAAGGGAGUUCAGUAACUUCAGUCUAAAAAAUUCAAAACACAGACAUAUUUUCAGCCAAAACAAAGCCAGAGCCAGCAGUAAUUUUAAUUCUUUUCACUAAGUAUUGUUCUGGCCAUAAGACUAUGUGUAAAAUGGAUGUGGUUGAAGCCACAAUGGACUGUAAGGUUUAUAGGAUGAACAAGUUGCUAAGGAAGAGCUUGCAUGCCUAAAAACUUACAUUAUUCCAGCUGGAGUGCAUCCUGUAACAACAGUACUUCUUUAUUCUUCCAUAUCUUCCCUAAAAAGCUGAGCGCUCUGGCUGAAGACAGGCCAGGAGAGGCGCAUGGAUGUUUGCCUUCUUCAUGUUGCCUGAAAACCUAGUCCUUGUCUCAUCUGGGAACAGGACAGUCAUGCCAAGUGGAUGCAUCUCCCUGCAUCUGUGGAGAGACAGCAAAUGUGCUGUCUGGAAAGUAUCUGUGUUCUAGGAGGUGAGAAACUGGCUUGGGCUGUUUGAUUUCACUUCUACUCAGAGAAAUGGGGCAAUGAACUUUCUAAUAAACAGGUUUGGUUCACAGAGGGAUGACUCCACCAUCGAUCAUUCCACCAGAGGAAUAACUCAAGAUUCGAAAAUUUUAACCAGAUAAUUUUAUCAAAAGAAUAAUAAAAAAAAAAAAAAAAAAAAAAAAAAAAAAAGGACCAAGUAAUGACUUAAAACAAUUGCUGUGAUAUUACAUCUACAUAGGAUCUACUGGCCUAUAUGUCAGUUUUAAUCUGCCACUGGUUAAAUCCUACAUACUGAGCAAAAUAACUUACCAACACAAUACAUGCAAAGUAAAUAAAUACUCAAGCAACACUCUAUGUCCCACAUCCACUCAGAUACCAGAAGUGUGUAUUUCCAGUCUGUGAAAUACAAUGAUAAGUAAAAACAGUGAUUCUCCAUGAGUGCAUUACUCAGAAGAAGCAAUGUUAAGGCAGUCAGUGUGAUCUUUAAAAAUCACUCCCAGUAAAUAAAUAAAUAAGCACCUCUACCUGCACAGCUAUCUGAAGACAAGUUAACAAAUUCUGUUUUCCACUUAUUAGCAAAUCAGUUGUUCUGUAAAGAAUACAUGAUCAAAACCUACAGCAACAGCUGGCACAUGUAUAAAGCGGGGCAAAAAAAUUAAGAUGAAGUAUUUCUGACAAAAAAAUAUAUGAAACAAAACAAAGUUGAAAACUGAAGCAGAUAUCAGAUAACCAUUUUGUCAUUUAUAAAAUACUUUUUCAGGACAAAAGGGGUUGCCAUACCUUUUCACUCAGCAUAUCCUCAGAGUCACAUAUUAAGCUGAUCAAAUCCGAGGGUACUGCAGUAAGCUGAAGCUUGAAGCUGCCUCCACUUCCUUCAUUUCGUUUACAGUUUUGUUUGGGGGUUGUUCUUUUUUUUCUUUUUAGCUUGCAGAAACCUGAGGGAAAAAAUAUUUUGGGGGUUACUAUCGAAAUAGUUUAUUCAGUAGUCAAUUAACUGAAAAAAACAAAUAGUUCUAAACUGAUCUCUUAUAUACCAUGCCCCUUUUUAUAUCAUAGUUAUUGGUUCCAUUCUGUUGUUAUAUUUUACUGAAAACAUUAUGAAUAUAAAUGAGAAUAGUGCACAAAGAGCAGAGGUGAAGAUAUGUCCCAUUAGAAAUCUGCUUUUUUACUUACAUUUACUGAGGUUAUCAAGUACCUCUUUAUGAACUCUUCAUCCCUUUCUAAAAGGUAAAGUUGAAAUUGGGAAAUAUAUUGCAUCAGUUAUUGGGCAUUCUGGGGUUUUCCAUUAUUUUAAAAACCUCCUAUGUGCCUAAUUAUAGCUAAUAAGUACUGUUUAGAAACAUAGCAGAGAACUCAUGAUUUCCUUCUUCACCCAAUGCCCAGAAAAUCCAUGUCCGAGAACAAAAUCUUGAAGGUAUUUGUGAUCAUGACCCAUUCUCAUUAUCUGUAUCCAUUCUAAGAUUUUUAUAUUAUAUGAAUGAAUAUUUUAAAGUGAAAUUAUAGUAUUCAAUGGCAAAUUACAACUACAUGUGACCAAGAGAGGAUUAAACCCAUCAUUUUGCUUAAGAGCUCUGAUGGCUGGAGUAAUUGGAUGAUAGCUGUAGGGCAUCUUUUUGGUCUGUAAUUAGGUCAUUUCUUUCUCAUCCCUUCACUGUGUGUAUAAUUACGAAUUAAUUUGAAAUCCCACUGUGAGUAAAGAAAGUCAGUUUAAUAUAACGGAAGUGCAAAAGCCACAAUAUAUUACUUUUUAAAAACUGCUUAUUUCAAAAUACUCAGUCUGGCCAAAAGUUAUAUCCCUAUGUACUGCAAGGCUUAUAUUUGGUUUCUUUGCUAACUUUGUACAAGUGCUGCUCUGAAAGUAAUGCCUCCUGUUUUAUUAUGUUGGUGUGCAAUGUCAGAGGUGGAUUUUGGUGGUACAUCAGGAGAGGUUGAACCUUCACACCAGUAUUCCACUACAUUUUGUUGCUGUGUGACAGAUGGCAGCAGAGGGUCAGUCUGACAAAAUGGCUUCUGACACGGAAGCAUCUGAGAAGAAAAGAUGUGGAACUGAAUUCCUCCAUGUGGUAAAAAAAUUGCAUCCAUUGACUUUCACUGAUGCUUGCUGAACAUUUAUGGAGAUCAAACAGUGGAUGUGAGCUCAGUGAGGUUGUGGGUAAUGUGUUUCAACAGCAGUGAUAGUGGCAGUGGUUCACCUCCACCGGUGCAAAUUUUUACAAGAACAGCAAGCAGGUUCUCGUUCAUCGUUGGCAAAAAUGCAUAGCUAAUGACAGUGAAUAUGCAGCAAAAUAAAGUUUGUAUUUGAGAAUUUUCUCUAUGAAAUAGUGUUAUUGUGCUCUUUGUAUUUGUUGCAGUUUCUAUGGAAAUAAACAGCAAGUAUUACUUUUGAAUCAAUCUACGUUCCUGGAUGUAUUUUCUCUCUUAAAAUAAAUGAAUUUUCAAAGCACCACACUUUGCUCCAGUAUCUGUCAGUAGGUGUCAACAGCACAAAAAGGUAGUGGAAAGAAAUAAAAAGUAACCAUGAGAGUCUUGACAGACAGUAUUAGCAUCAGAGAACUUAGAGGCCACUCUCAACACAGUCAACCAUUUUAUCCUUUAGUCCUGCCAUUAUUUCCUUCCACUGAAACUACCUUUCUGCUUUUACCCUGAAAGUGUUAAACACUGCACAACCCUAACUAGCAUACCUGCUACUAUGUGCAUCAGGAGCUCACCAUUUCAUCAUCUGGCUGAGAUAUGCUGCUGGCAAGUUCUGCUUCCCUUCCUUUAUCACAACAUUGUGGUCGGAUGCAUCAGACCUCCCUCCCGCCUUAGCAAUGAUACAGGUAAAAACAUGCAUUUCUGACAAAUGGAUAACCCCAAGCAGAUCUGUGGAGACAAUGUUUUGACUUGCUGAACUUCCUGUUUCAUUCUGUUUUCAUCUGUCCCCAGAAACCUUGAAAGGGGUCGGUGAGAGGGUCCCAGGUGUGAUCUGAGCACCAGUGAUGUCAACAGCGAGCCAGGGGCUGUGCAGGGUGUGAAGUUAAAGGGAAGAGCAGAGAAAAGACUGUUGGUGCAGAGAACAAGGGUACUGAGAUUUGACUGUAUUUGUAGCUGUGCUGUAAAAAACUGUAAAACAUCCCAUGCCGUUAGCAUAAGAUUAGAUUUCUGCCAGGAAAAAAAAAAAAAAAAAGAGAGAGAGAGAGAGAACAAAAAGAAAUGGAACUGCUUAGAUAUAAGUUCCAAAGUUCAUUAAGAGGGUUCUUUUCUGCAUAGCUCCAAAGCUAAGAUGUGCUAAGGCAUGUAGAAAAAUAAGGAGGUGUUAAAAACCUACCCAACUUCUUAGCUUUCAAAAAAAGUUCAAAGUCCUAGUCAUCGAUUAUUUACAUGGUGACCUCCAGGCCUAUUUGUGAUGCCAAAAAAAUUGUACUCAGGAAGGAAGGAAGACAUUAUCAAAAAGGAAAGAAUUUCUGUUUAAUCUAAUAAUGCCUUUAUAAAAAUAACCAUUUUCUUUUACAUAUAAUAAAAAAUUCAUUAGAAAAUCUCAACAUAUUUUUAUAUAAAAAUAAUAACUGGCAACAUAGCUAGAAAUAAGAAGCAGAGAAAGAAACUUGGAUGCAUUUCUUGCUUGCAAGAGCAUGAUGAGGAAAUAAGGUAAUCUAGUCUUCCCAUUCUGAACAAAAUAGACAUGAUAACAGAAUAUAUAAAUCAAGACAUUUUUGGAGAAAUAAUGUCACUCCAUAAUUUUUGAAAGUAGAAAUAAUUUAAAAUUCAUGCAUGAAACUAAAUAGGUAAAAUAUGUCAUUUUGAAAUAACAUAACAGUAAAAAUAAUUUGUAAAACUUUUUUUGUUUUUUAACUGAGUCUCAUUUUAUACUUGGAAAAUUUUCUUUAGAAAAUUUUCAACCUCUUCUAUGUAGCUCCUGGGUAAAUAUGGAGGUUUUAUGGAAACCAAACAAAUGAAUUAAAUGACUACAAGAAUUAUUGGCUCUAAAUAUAUACAUUUUCUUCUGAUGCUACUAGAAUGUUACUAGUAUAUACUGUAUGAAUUAUAAAAAAUGUUAUGACAGAUAUGGAAGUAAUAUACUUCGGUGAUAAAUCUUCAAUAGAAAGAAUUUAUUAGAGUCAUAUAGAUCUACU